UACGUAGGGUGCAAGCGUUGUCCGGAAUUAUUGGGCGUAAAGAGCUCGUAGGCGGUCUGUCGCGUCGGCUGUGAAAACCCGAGGCUCAACCUCGGGCCUGCAGUCGAUACGGGCAAACUAGAGUACUGCAGGGGAGACUGGAAUUCCUGGUGUAGCGGUGAAAUGCGCGGAUAUCAGGAGGAACACCGGUGGCGAAGGCGGGUCUCUGGGCAGUAACUGACGCUGAGGAGCGAAAGCGUGGGGAGCGAACAGG
rnacentral:rRNA from 1 species